UACGGAGGGGGCAAGCGUUGUUCGGAGUUACUGGGCGUAAAGCGCGCGUAGGCGGUGCGGUAAGUCAGGGGUUAAAGGCUGCAGCUCAACUGCAGUAAGGCCUUUGAUACUAUCGUGCUAGAGUGUCAGAGAGGAUGGCGGAAUUCCCGGUGUAGCGGUGAAAUGCGUAGAUAUCGGUAGGAACACCAGUAGCGAAGGCGGCCAUCUGGCUGAUAACUGACGCUGAGGUGCGAGAGCGUGGGGAGCAAACAGG
rnacentral:rRNA from 1 species